AGUGAACGCUGGCGGUAGGCCUAACACAUGCAAGUCGAACGGCAGCACAGUAAGAGCUUGCUCUUACGGGUGGCGAGUGGCGGACGGGUGAGGAAUACAUCGGAAUCUACUUUUUCGUGGGGGAUAACGUAGGUAAACUUACGCUAAUACCGCAUACGACCUACGGGUGAAAGCAGGGGAUCUUCGGACCUUGCGCGAUUGAAUGAGCCGAUGUCGGAUUAGCUAGUUGGCGGGGUAAAGGCCCACCAAGGCGACGAUCCGUAGAUGGUCUGAGAGGCUGAUCAGCCACACUGGAACUGGUACACGGUCCAGACUCCUACGGGAGGCAGCAGUCGGGAAUAUUGGACAAUGGGCGCAAGCCUGAUCCAGCCAUACCGCGUGGGUGAAGAAGGCCUUCGGGUUGUAAAGCCCUUUUGUUGGGAAAGAAAAGCAGCAGGUUAAUACCCCGCUGUUCUGACGGUACCCAAAGAAUAAGCACCGGCUAACUUCGUG
rnacentral:rRNA from 1 species